rnacentral:rRNA from 1 species
UACGUAGGGUGCGAGCGUUACUCGGAAUUACUGGGCGUAAAGCGUGCGCAGGCGGUUCGUUAAGACAGAUGUGAAAUCCCCGGGCUUAACCUGGGAACUGCAUUUGUGACUGGCGGGCUAGAGUAUGGCAGAGGGGGGUAGAAUUCCACGUGUAGCAGUGAAAUGCGUAGAGAUGUGGAGGAAUACCGAUGGCGAAGGCAGCCCCCUGGGCCAAUACUGACGCUCAUGCACGAAAGCGUGGGGAGCAAACAGG